rnacentral:rRNA from 1 species
CUUGCUUUCUCCGCCGGCGACCGGCGCACGGGUGAGUAACACGUAUGCAACCUGCCCCUGUCAGGGGGACAACCCGCCGAAAGGCGGGCUAAACCCGCGUACAUGCCACCGGGGCAUCCCGGAGGCAGGAAAGGCUUCGGCCGGACAGGGAUGGGCAUGCGGCGCAUAGGCAGUAGGCGGGGUAACGGCCCACCUAACCGACGAUGCGUAGGGGUUCUGAGAGGAAGGUCCCCCACACUGGUACUGAGACACGGACCAGACUCCUACGGAAGGCAGCAG